GGUGGCUUAGUGGUAGAGCACUUGCCUUACAUGCCUGAGGCUCUGGGUUCGAUUCCUCAGCACCA
rfam:Dipodomys ordii contig_40661, whole genome shotgun sequence.